UCUAAUAAGCCCACUCACGAAACCAAACUCUUUUCCCUGUUUGAUUACUUUUAAAUUUGUUUUCUUCUGUCUUUUUUUUCUUUGUUUUGAACCCAUGCUAGAUUCUGUGUACACUUGUUGUUGUUCAUGGGGUCCUAGGAGCUACUCCAUGUCAAAAAGACCUCUCUCUUUCCUCCUCCUUAAAGUAAAGGAAUUGUUGUGUGGAAAACAAAAAUUUCAAGCCCUUUUUACGCUACUUUUAAAACAUCUUAUUCAGACUUUGUUUUCCAUCCCUCGUUCAGGAAAAUUGCAAUCCCCACAUCAUUUUUCUUCAGGCCAUGUGAUCGCCUGCUAAUUUUAUCAAUCAAUCUGAUAAAAGAGAAGAAAAAGGUAAGGUCUGGUCCAUAAGGUCUUUGCUUUGCCAUUUAGUUAAAGGCAUAUUUAAAGUUCUUAUUGCAGGGUUUUUUUUUUAACAACAAGAAAAAGAAAGCUUUUCACUGUUGAGGUUUUCCUGCAGCUUUUCGGAGAAAUCUGAAGACACCGUAAAUCCGGCUGCGAGUGUACUCGUCCCCUUGGAUUUAUGGCACCUUCAUUAUCGAUUAAUUAGCUAAAUGUAGUUAAAAUCUAUAUUUAUGUUUAGAAUUGUGAUAGAAGUUGUUUAUUAGAGUGUUUUUUUACAUGAAAAUGCAUCAAAAUAAUAUUUAUAUUUUAUUUUUAACAUCAACACAUCAAAACAAUAAUAAAAAACAUAAAAAUAAUAAUUUAAAACUAGAAAAAACUUCAAAAAAAUUGAAAAACACAGUCAUUCCCUUCUAAGUUUUGUUUUAGUCAAUUAUGCCUAUAUUGAACAAAUUGAGUUCAGAUUAGUCCAAUUAAUGGUUUGUGGGAAAUUAUAAGAGAAAUUGAUUUCAAAUAUUAAUGCACAUAAUUGACGGGGACUAAUAACAAAUUAACAACCAUUAUCAAUUAGCCUUGAUUUGACAAAAAAGAGAGAGAGAGAGAGAGACACGGAGUUUAAUUUGAAGGCAGUGAUCCACAUAGAUUCUGUUUUUGAUUGACGAGAUUUUUAAAAAUGUUUUUAGUUUAAGAAAAUAUUAAGUUAAUAUAUUUUUUAAUGCUAUGCAUAUCCCUAUAUUAGUAGUAUUCACGGACUCACAUUUUCAUUGCUUCAAAGAUUUGUCGCUACCUAGCUUCUGCUUCUAAUCCUGGGAUUGAUUUCGAGGGGAGGUUUUGACAGAAGUUUUAUUAUGAUUUUUAUAAAGAUGAUUUGCGUAAUGAAAGAAAGGGUAGUCGCUGAAGUUGUGGGGUCUUAUAAUAGCUGGCUGCCUUGUGAAAACGUUGAAAUUCAUAGCAGGCUAGAAAAGCUCGAUCCCCGACAUUACUGAAAGGACAAAGCCACAACUUUUGGCCAUUUGCCAGAAUCGACUGAUGGGUGUUUACUAACAACAUCAGGUGAUAACAAUGCUAAAUGCUUGAACGAUUCGUAAAUUAAUCAAUCAGCUGCGUGACUAAAAUGUGCCUGCCAACUCGUGUGGAAUUAAUUGUCGUGGUGGGAUAGCUAAUCAGACAGACGCCCGGUUCAUGCAAGGAAAAAAGGUCAAGAUUCAGGCAGAGGAAGAUUUCAGAAUCCAUGGUUUCGCUUCAUUGGAUGCGUUGCAAAUUUGCAGCCUUAACUUUUUUUCCACUUAAGUUAGGUCUAGAACUGUAUUUGAUAGCUGACUAAUCACAAGUACACUGAAUGAUUGAUUUGAGUCGCGAGUAUUUUGCUAGCUCAUCAGAGAAACUAAUGAUCAUGCAUAGAACAAUCUUUAUAUUGCUUCCUUUCAAAGUGUUAA